AUGGCAGCUCAUCGCGGGCCUGUUCGCGAGCGUGGCUCACCUGCUCGUUCUACCGUUCGAGGUGCUCGGGCACUGGCUGCAGGUGGCCAUCGCCGCCGUGGCCCACCUGGUCGCCCUGCCGUUCGAGGCACUCUGGCACUUGCUGCGGUCCGCUGCAGCCGGCGUCGGCUUCUGCUUCGACAGCCUCGUCGCCGCUCUCGGGAGCGCGGCCCGCGCCCUGGCGGUGCCGUUCGAGGCGCUCUGGCACCUGCUGCAGUCUGCCGCCGCCGGCGUCAGCUUAUGCUUUGUAAGACAAUGAUUUGGGGGAACCAGCUCAACCCGAGGCAAGAGAUGAUGAAUGUACAAGUAUACGUAGACAAAUACAGAAGCUAUACAAGUCUAACAUGCCUCAGCAACCUCGUCGCCGCGCUCGGUAGCGCAGCCCACGCUCUGGCGGUGCCGUUCAAAAUGCUCUGGCAGUGGCUCCAGGCCGCCCCCGCAAGCAUCAGUUUCGGCCUCCACGGUCUGGGGCAGCUCAUACAAGGCUGCUUCGACAGCCUCGUCGCCGCGCUCGGGAGCGCGCCCCAUGCUCUGGUGGUGCCGUUUGAAGCGGUCUGGCAGUGGCUCCAGGCCGCCGCCGCCGGCGUCAGUUCCGGCUUGGACGGCUUCUGGGAGCACAUGCAGGGCAUCUUCGCCGGCCUUCCCGCCGCGCUCGCCAGCGCUGCCCACAGCCUCGUCCUGCCGUUAGAGUCUCUCUGGCGGUGGGUGCAGAACGCCGUCGGCGGCAUCAGCCUCGAUCUGGCCGGCUUCUGGCCGCUCGUCCAGCGCUUCGUCGACACGGCCGCGAGCAAGGCCUACGAGCUCGUCCCGGCCUUGGAGGCGUUCUGGCGGUGGCUCAAGGACAUGCCGUCGUCGCGCUCCCUUACGUGGUGGCCAUCGCCGCGGUCGUUUGCGUCGCGGCGCUGGUCUGGUACUGCUAUCAGGUCGUCGCGGCCCUGGUCUGUCACUGCUGGCAGUUCCGGUGCACCGCCGCCGUGCAGGUCGCGCCGGCUCUCGGCCGGGUCCUCUGCUUCUGCCGGGACUGCUUGA
rnacentral:rRNA from 1 species